CUUUACUGCAACUUGACGUUGGAACUUGGCUGUAUUGUGUAGGAUAGGUGGGAGACUUUGAAGCAGGGCCGCCAGGUCUUGCGGAGUCGUCGUUGAAAUACCACCCUGGUGCUGACGAGUUUCUAACCGUGUCCGUAAGCCGGACAUGAGACAGCGUCUGGUGGGCAGUUUGACUGGGGCGGUCGCCUCCUAAAAGGUAACGGAGGCAUUCAAAGGUCCCCUCAGCGUGGUCGGUAAUCACGCGCAGAGUGCAAACGCAUAAGGGGGCUUAACUGCGAGACCGACAGGUCGAGCAGGUACGAAAGUAGGAGUUAGUGAUCCCGCGGUUUAGCGUGGAAUUGCCGUUGCUCAAUGGAUAAAAGGUA
rnacentral:rRNA from 1 species